UCACCUUAACUGAGCGGAAUCUGGUGCACUGAUGGUAUUCUGUUUAUAGAGAUUUUAUAGCAAUUUGUAAAAUUGAGAGUCCCUUCUCUACCAAAGUUUUCUUUUCUAAAGUUUUUGAUAUUUUUUUUAUGUUUUUAUUUCAGCUCAUGAUGCUGUUUUCCUGAAAUCCUUACGUGAUUCCUCUUGCUUAGGCAACAUUCGGGGUCCCCUACAAGAGAUUUGACCUGGGUCCUCCAAAGUUCAAAUCCGACACUUGCUGUCUGUAUGAUCGAUAACCUUAAUUUUGGCAAUCUAAUGGUAGUAUACUCAGACCUAAAGAUUUGCCUCAUAACAACCCAGAGACAUCAUCGCGCAGAUAACCCGAAAUUUUUUUUCGGUCAACCGUCUCAAGUUAUCUGGUGCCAAGCCGUAAUGUAACACACACAGAGACCCCGAGGUACCCUAGGCGAAGAUUGGUUUAUGUUGUCGGUAUAUCACUACAUGUAACUGUUAUUUUUAAUCUUAUUUCUUCUGUUUUAUCUAGCAUGGAUCGAAAGCUUCAAAUGAACACAAUGAGAUAUCAUCGCGCAAGGAGAUCCAAGUUAGUGCGAAUGACGAUACUCCACUUUACGCAUACAGACGACUUGAGGACAGGACAGUUUUCUAACCGUUUUCAUGUUUGAGUUUGCAAUGUUUGCGGUUUACUUUUGUUCAAUAAUUUCUUACUGUUAAGGUUAAGUUCAUGUUUCUUUCAAUAUUUUUUUUCAUACAGUUAUGUUAAAAACUUGCAGACUUACAUCUUCAAAUAUAUAUUGUAAUAUUUUUUGUUGUUGUUUUUCUUUCAAUAUAUAGAUGUACGUGUAUGUGUAAUGUGUGUAUAUAUAAUUUAUUCUUAUCUGUGUAUAUAUGUAUAUAGAACUUUUAAAUAUGUAUUUCCUUAUGGUUCAAUUAAUCUACUUAUGUUCUGAAUUUAUCUUUUAAAAAAGUGUAAAUUUUAUAUGUGUCUGUGUAAAUUGUUUGCGUUUUCGAAUGCAUGUUCAAAA